UACGGAGGGUGCGAGCGUUAUCCGGAUUUAUUAGGUUUAAAGGGUGUGCAGGCGGGUGCUUAAGUCAGAGGUGAAAGCCCCCGGCUCAACCGGGGAACUGCCUUUGAUACUGGGUACCUUGAGUGCAGUUGAAGUGGGCGGAAUGUGUGGUGUAGCGGUGAAAUGCAUAGAUAUCACACAGAACACCGAUUGCGGAGGCAGCUCACUAAGCUGCAACUGACGCUGAGGCACGAAAGCGUGGGUAGCGAACAGG
rnacentral:rRNA from 1 species